AUCUGUGUGUGUGUGUGUGUGUGUGUGUGUGUGUGUGUGUGUGUGCGCGCGCGCUCGCAUGCGUGCACGCUCGGACCACACCUGGCCAUACCAAGG
rnacentral:pre_miRNA from 1 species